rnacentral:antisense_RNA from 1 species
GUAGAAUCCAGCCAGUCAGAGAGCAAAUCCUUGGCUUCUUCCAGCAACACCUGAAGAGAAAGAAACAAAAACCCAGGAGUGGGCCACAUACUUCACAUAAGCACAUCUCGUGCAGUUGGUGUGAGCCCAUCAGUGCCCUGAAUUCGAAGGUGCUGGCCUUGAUCUGUGAAGAGCCACCGUCUCCUAGGGAGACUGUGAUGCUUACACAACUGGCUCGGCUGAGACAAAUACAAGACUCUACAAAUGGGCAGGUCUCACAUGAACUCAGAGGAGCAAAGCCGAGGAGACCGUGGGCGCAGAGGCAAAAAGAGGUGGGAGGGCCAAGGUGGGGCUGGUGAGCAUGUGCAGCCUACCUGGGCCAUGCAGGGCAGUGUUAUGGGCAGAGGCUGGGCAGGAGCACACUGUGUGGAACCUACAGUACAACCCCUUGGUGCACUCAGGAAAAGAUUCAUGACGGAGACAGCCAGAGGUUAGGAGAGACAGGCAGGGCACUGGUCCCAGAGGUCUCAAAAGCCCCAUCUCCCUGAUGCCAUUGACUGAAGAUGCCAUCCCCACUUGACACACCAUGGAAUGGGACGAAAAACCACCAAUCCCAGCAAAACAUGGCACCUGUGUGACCCAGGUCCUGACUACACACACUCUAGGCAUGAGACAUGCCCCAACUGCACUCAUGUCAGAAGAGAGAAAUGUCUACCCUCCACCUACCUUGGAAGGGACCCAGAGUUCUCAAUGCACUGACCUGGACCUAGGACAGGGCGUGGCACCAAGCAGAUGGUCUGUGGCCCACUACGGGAAUGAGAGGCAAAGAACCAAGGCUGGAGAGAAAAAGUGUAGGAAAAUGGCCUGGCAGACAGCGAGGACACAGGGCAGACAGAGAAGUCACAACACAGACAGAGAAGGGGCACAGGGCCCACGUGGGCCAGGUUCUUGAUGCAGUCCCUGCCUACAGCUCCUGAAUCAAACAGAUGUGUUAAUGUAUUGCAGGCCUGCAAGUGGCAAGGCACUUCUGCAGGAAUGAGCACACCCUCCCCACCGCGGCGGGGCAUCCAGUGGGCUGACAAGCACCAAAAGCAGGGUGUGCGCUCUGGGGAGCAAAGGCUGCCAAGUCUGCUGCCCGAAAAGCAAACACUGGGCCUGCCCCAAGUACAGGGAAACAUGUGCAUCCUGGCCCUCAGGAUCGCCAAGGUCAUGACCCAGAAGAACUGACAUCCUAAUCGAGGUCACCAAACAUCCAAGAACAUGAGCAACUGUGAAUGGGAGUCAGCAGAAACUACAAACAGAUGGAUACUUCAGAUGGAAGAGUUAUCAGAUACAUAAUAAAAUGCAGUAAAUAUGACAGGCUUAAAGACAAAAGGACGGACUCACAGAUGAUACGCAAUAGCAAGCAGGGAGAGGCCAGCAAAACGACCCAGCUAGAUCUGAAAAUAGAAGCAAACAGAACCUGCAGAGAUGAAAUCUAUUAACAGGCGAAACAGUGACUGUUUCACUCCCUGUCUGAAGGACAAUGAGUGACUGUUUCACUUCCUGUCUGAAGGAGAAUUUGUGAACAGGAUGAUAGAAGUGAAGAAGUCAUCUAAAAUGGAAUAGAGACAAGAAGGAAAAUUUUAUGAAAGACAGGUUAGGAGACACGGAGAAGGAUGAGAUGAAAUGAUGAGACUCACAUCUAAUUGGCAUCCCAGAGGAGAGGAGAGAGGGAAUUGAGUAAAGGUGAUACUUGAAGACACAUCUGAGAAUUUCUCAAAACCCAUGCAACAAUCCAGCCCUGGGAAGCACACAAAAUAUCCAGUAGGAUAAGUAAAAACAAAUCUCUUACAAUGUCUUAGUGAAAUAGCAGAAAACUGAAAAGAGAGAAUAUUUUUAUAAUGCGCCUGAUAGAAAAGACAUAUUUACCGAUAAAAGAAAAGUGAUUUGAAGGGCAGCCGAUGUUUUCAACAACAGCCAACAAUGGAAGCCAGAAGACAACAACCACCUUGAACAAACAGGGAAAUAUAUACACUUCAAGAUAGACAAAAGCUGCUUCCCACCAAUACUUCUAAGAUAAUGUUUCUAAAACUUGCCUGAUGAUAGGACUGGAAUACUCAGUGUUGCUGGUCAAGCAUACAGAUUAACAAUCAAAAUGCAUAAAUACAAAAUGAUAAGAGACUUCUGGUUUCCAGUUUCACGUAAGUCAGGAGCUUGGAAGUUGCCACUCUACCUAACAACAGGUCUCUGUAGCAGAUCUAAGAUCUUUGUGGACCUAAGAUCGCUGCUGUGGAUCCCAAUGGCUCUGACUUGUGCGUGCAACGGCUGAAGCUGCAGGGACACCCCGCGGUGGACCUACCUGGCGUGCCCCAUGUGAGAUGCGUCAUAGACGGUUGGCCCACAGCAAUACCACGUCACCUUUUUCCCAUCUUGAGGUAUGAACACUUCCUUUGUUAGGAAUGAAGGAAUGACGAUCACAAGAAAUGCAAGAAACACUGCACAGGAUUAUCAAAAACAGCAACAAACAUCACAGUGUGGUUUGUGUCUUGUGUGAACAAUUCAACAGAGACCAUUUUGUUUUAUUGUGAAAAGUCACAGUCUCAGUGGGAGCCCAGUGAGAUGUAUGGCACCUCCCACCAACUGAGCCCUGGGUGGGUGGAGCCUCUUCCUCCCUGGGGUUCUACUCAUCUAUGGAGGGAGGCGAUAAAGGGAAUCAAUGAUUUU